CUAUACCUGCAGUCGAGCGGACAGAUGGGAGCUUGCUCCCUGAUGUUAGCGGCGGACGGGUGAGUAACACGUGGGUAACCUGCCUGUAAGACUGGGAUAACUCCGGGAAACCGGGGCUAAUACCGGAUGGUUGUUUGAACCGCAUGGUUCAAACAUAAAAGGUGGCUUCGGCUACCACUUACAGAUGGACCCGCGGCGCAUUAGCUAGUUGGUGAGGUAACGGCUCACCAAGGCAACGAUGCGUAGCCGACCUGAGAGGGUGAUCGGCCACACUGGGACUGAGACACGGCCCAGACUCCUACGGGAGGCAGCAGUAGGGAAUCUUCCGCAAUGGACGAAAGUCUGACGGAGCAACGCCGCGUGAGUGAUGAAGGUUUUCGGAUCGUAAAGCUCUGUUGUUAGGGAAGAACAAGUACCGUUCGAAUAGGGCGGUACCUUGACGGUACCUAACCAGAAAGCCACGGCUAACUACGUGCCAGCAGCCGCGGUAAUACGUAGGUGGCAAGCGUUGUCCGGAAUUAUUGGGCGUAAAGGGCUCGCAGGCGGUUUCUUAAGUCUGAUGUGAAAGCCCCCGGCUCAACCGGGGAGGGUCAUUGGAAACUGGGGAACUUGAGUGCAGAAGAGGAGAGUGGAAUUCCACGUGUAGCGGUGAAAUGCGUAGAGAUGUGGAGGAACACCAGUGGCGAAGGCGACUCUCUGGUCUGUAACUGACGCUGAGGAGCGAAAGCGUGGGGAGCGAACAGGAUUAGAUACCCUGGUAGUCCACGCCGUAAACGAUGAGUGCUAAGUGUUAGGGGGUUUCCGCCCCUUAGUGCUGCAGCUAACGCAUUAAGCACUCCGCCUGGGGAGUACGGUCGCAAGACUGAAACUCAAAGGAAAUGAACGGGGGCCCGCACAAGCGGGGGAGCAGGUGGUUUAAUUGGAAGCACGGCGAAGACCCUUACCAAGGCGUUGACAUCGUCCUGACAAUCCUAGAGGAAAGGAUCGUCGCCUGUCGGGGGCAAAAUUGACCGGGGGAUUGCAUGGUUUGGACGCCAGCCCCGUGGCCGCGAGAAUGAUUGGGUUAAAGUUCCCGGCAACGGAGCGCGGACCCUUUGGACGUGAAGU
rnacentral:rRNA from 1 species